rnacentral:lncRNA from 1 species
CUCUUGAGAGUGUUAAAGUCCUGAUGUUACAUAUUUUUGUAACUAGCAGGGCAUAUUAACCACUGUGUGAAGCCUGAGCUACCCAAACAGCCUUCACAGCCACAUGGACUAUAAGCAAGGAGUCAGUUUGUAGAAGCUUGGCGUUAUGGACAAGGCAAUUCUGAAUUUCUUCUGCAAAAAUGAAGUGGCAUACUAUGACAAAUCUAUCACCUGCUCCAGGAAUACUUGCAUUGCUAACUGAAAAGCUGGAAUUUCUCUUGCAGAGACAAGAUCACUCCUGUAGUUCUUUACUAAAGAAAUUUCCAGUAUGGUAUGAACUCUUUGUUCUAGACUAGAACAGUCUGCAUCAUCUGUCUCUUGUCUCCUCUGUCAUGUUCACUCCAUCAAAUCAAGGGAUUAGGAGUCGUCUUAAUACUUUUGUUUCCUGUCCAUACUGCUCCUACAAGGAGACUGAUCUACAGGAGAUGCCAUUAGAUUCUGGUGACUUACAGUGGCCAAAGACAUGCUUUCCUAGCAUGACGCACAGCAGAGCUGGUGAUGAAGAGGCUUCCUGCACACAUGUAUCUGGAAUCAUCAAGGUCAAGGGCUUGUUGUCACUUCUCGGACUGAUCUGGAUGGCCAAGAGGUGUGAACAUUGGAGUCCUCUGUGCUGCACCAGGCAGAAUGUGCAUGUGUAGGGUUGUGACACCCUGGUGGGACAUUUCUUUCACAUGUCAGCAUGAUUGACAGCCAACUGCCAUCCCCAUAUCACAUUCAUGUAACAAUGGCCUGGAUUUCACCUGAGCAACAGAGGAAUCUGUUGGAGAGAUUUGAGCCAGGUGGGUAAGAAGCUGAU